GCGUGAUCUUCCUCUUGCUCGCCGAUGAUCGUGGAUGGGCCUUCAACAUGAAGCCAGGCAUCGGCACCAUGUGCAUUCGUCAGGAGGACGACGAGACCAGGCCUUCGCGCGUGAAGAAAGUCGUCCAGCAGGCGAAGCAGUGGUCCAGGGCAGAAAUCGAGCAGCUUCCAGUCUCGCAGCUCCUGCGCUGGCACGAGGCGUUGGGUAGCGACUU
rnacentral:SRP_RNA from 13 species